GCAUCCUUGCGACAAAGCUCACAGACUUUGCCAAAACAGGAUCGGCAGUUACCGGUGCACUUGCAAGCAUGGAUACUAUGGAAAUGGCUACACAUGUGCUGAUGACGUUUAUACUGUUGAAGGAUGAGUAAUGGAUGCUUCUACUAAUGACUUCAUUAAUGGAGCAGUUGUUUUCCUUGGACAGAGAUCAACAACCUCAGACAGCGAAGGCGUUUUCUGGGUUUCCAACUUUCCUGCUCUUAAUUACAUAUUGAAUGCAUCAGCAGAUAGCUAUGUGUCUAACUCAAGAAUCCUUCAUGUAACUGGCAAUAUUAUGAAAGGCACUUUCGUUGACAUUAUACUCACUAGAGUGUUGGAAUCAGGCACUUGAAAGAUCGUACUUUCGUGGGGUGAAGAACCAAUUGAUCUCGAUGCCUACUUACUACUCCCAGGGUUCGAUCAUUUUCACAUCAGUUAUUACAACAAGAAAGUAAAGUCUAAUCUGGAACGAUCAGAUUGGAUACUGAUAGCCAAGUAAAAUUUGGCUAUGAAACUAUAACAAUUACCAAAGGAGUUGAGCCUGGCGCAUACAGACAUUACAUUGAUGCAUAUGCACACACUUCUGAUGAGUAUUAUGAUUUUCGCUUCCCUCAACAAGUUCCAGAUUAUUGGCGAGAUCACCGAUGAUUGUGACAGCUUUUUUGCAGAAAAAGUUGAAGAAUUUCGUCAAGAUCAAACUCAAGGCUAAACAGGUUUUUGUUAGAUGUUGCCCGUGGUAUGUUGACUUGUUUGGCACGUUGGAAGUAACGAUAUGAUUGCGACGAAAUAAUGUCUUAUGUUACGUUCUGUUAGUUCUCUAUUUCUUUGUGGUGUUGGAUUUCGUACUGUUGUGCACGUCUAUUGUGUUUCAGUCUUAGAGAAAUUUGGUAAACAUGAUGCAAAU